rnacentral:antisense_RNA from 1 species
CUUGACCGAGCCCAGUCGGAGCGGCUUGCCCUCCGGGCGCUCCUGGCCGUAGGUGGCCAGCAGCGCCUGCGCCUC